AACGAACGUUGGCGGCGUGGAUUAGGCAUGCAAGUCGGGGGAAUCCCAGCAAUGGGGGAACCGGCGUAAGGGGCAGUAAGGCAUGGGUACCUACCCUGAAGUUCGGGAUAGCCAUCAGAGAUGGUGGGUAAUACCGGAUGAUGUCGAGAGACCAAAGAUUUAUCGCUUUGGGAGGGGCCCAUGUGAUAUUAGCUAGUUGGUGAGGUAACGGCUCACCAAGGCGAAAAUGUCUAGCGGGAUGAGAGUACGACCCGCGCCACUCGCACUGAGACACUGGCGAGACACCUACGGGUGGCUGCAGUCGAGGAUCUUCGGCAAUGGGCGAAAGCCUGACCGAGCGACGCCGCGUGCGCGAUGAAGGCCUUCGGUU
rnacentral:rRNA from 1 species